UGGCCGUCGGUUACAGUGUUCAGGAAGGGAAGCUCCUCGUCGCAGCUUUGGAGCUUCAGAACCUGACUAUUCAGAUCCAAGCAGCACUGAGGGAGGAUUCACAUGGAUAGUGUAAAAACUGGAGAGGUGGCUUCAACUGAAGGAAAACCCUCAGCUGAAGGAGGACAAAACGGCAUUCAUGCCACAACAGAUAACCCAAGCAGAGAGUCAGCAGCCAGACCAUCAGUGCAAGAGUUUGCCCAGAAUAAAGUUUCUUAGAACCACCUGGCCCAUACAGUUGGAUCACACAGGGAACCAAUUGCUGAAGUAAGAAUAUAGCUGAUUAUCAUCAUUUACAGGAUGAAGGGACUGCUGUUGCACUUUGUGCAUCGGUGGUGUUGAUAUAGGAGGAGGAAGGCUGUCGCUUCAAUGACAGGGACAGCAGUCAAACAAUCACCGCUCGGCCUGUUUCACGUUCGUGGGUCCCGGCAGCGAGCA